UUUAGAGUUUGAUCCUGGCUCAGGACGAACGCUGGCGGCGUGCCUAAUACAUGCAAGUCGAGCGAACCAAUAAGAAGCUUGCUUUUUGUUGGUUAGCGGCGGACGGGUGAGUAACACGUGGGUAACCUGCCUGUAAGACCGGGAUAACUCCGGGAAACCGGUGCUAAUACCGGAUAGAUUAUCUUUCCGCCUGGAGAGAUAAGGAAAGAUGGCUUUUGCCAUCACUUACAGAUGGGCCCGCGGCGCAUUAGCUAGUUGGUGAGGUAACGGCUCACCAAGGCGACGAUGCGUAGCCGACCUGAGAGGGUGAUCGGCCACACUGGGACUGAGACACGGCCCAGACUCCUACGGGAGGCAGCA
rnacentral:rRNA from 1 species